GACUUUCUCUCUCCAGAAUACUUGUUUGCGUCUCUUUCUCUCUCUAGAAAACCCAUUUAAAAUCACUUUGUAACAGCCCGAAAUCUCAGGUAUUGUUAAAUUAUGUUUUUGGGGUGAUUUAAGGGGGGACUCGGCGAGUUGGAGCCUAGACUCGCCGAGUAGGAUCGCAGACUUGGUCGCGGGUUCGCGACUGGACUCGACGAGUCCGGAUAUGGACUCGGCGAGUCUACGCUGUUUAGCGAAAACCCUAACCAUUCAGGUUUGGGACGUAUAUAACGCACUAUAUGCCGUCAUUGUCCGUCUUUUAGUCGACUGAGAAGAACCCUAAGCGGCUGUGGGCAUCUAGAGCAAGAUUGAAGGCCAUUGGUGACUUGAAGAAAUUGUUGUGCAAGGAGGAGAAGAGUCUUGGCUAAAGGAACUGCAAGGGAAUUGAGUUCUGAGGUUUGGGGACACAGAGAGUGCGUUAUUCAGGUAAUAUUUCGGAUCAUUUCUGCUAUAUUGAUGUGAUUAUGGAAUUAGGGUUUAUGGAACCCUUUUGUGAAUAGAUUGAAUGUUACCCUAGUCCCCUAAUCGAUUGUAACCCUGUAUUGGGACCUUUGGAGGUCCAGAAUGUCCCAUGUAUGUGCAUUUCGGGAAUUGAUGAAGGUUUUGGAUUGGAAUCCUUAUGCCUUAGGUCAAAAUGUAAAUUAUGAAUCAUAUGGUGUAUCAUGAGCACUGAAAUGAGGACUUUACGUGAUGGAUCAGCCUAGGAAGGCCAGACCUAGGAAUGGUCGAAGCAGUUCUGACCUUAGGAUGCAGUUUGAGCGGUUGCAUGGCAUGGACUCGCCGAGUUCGAUGAACAGACUCGGCGAGUAGCUUGAAGAUUAACUGGGACUCGUCGAGUUGUUCUUCAGACUCGGCGAGUUGAGUCGGGGUGGCCCCGCGAUUCUUCCAGGAGUAACUCGUCGGGUCAAGGAGGAUACUCGACGAGUAGAUAGGGAAUCUCAGAGAGUUUAAGGACGUCUAGACUCGCCGGGUCGCCAUGGUACUCGCCGAGUCCGAACGAGUUGACCGUUGACCGUUGACCAGAGUUGACCUAAGUCUGACUUCUUAGGGAUAGUCACACUUAGAGGAUAUAAGUGUUAAUGAGAGAUAUGUGAUGUUAUAGGGAGGUUGUAGCUCGUCGGAUUGUGCACGAGUGAUUUCAGGAUUUGCUAGCUUUCAGCAUUCACGAGGUGAGUCUUCUCACUAUACUGUACCCGGAAGGGUUUGACUGUGUGACCGGAAGGUCAGAUAUGAUAUGUGAUAUGUAUGCUAUAUGUGGUAAGUUAUUUGUUAUAUGUGCUAUGUAUGUUAUGUGGGCCGGAAGGCAAUAUGUUAUGGGCCGGAAGGCGAUUAUGUUAUGGGCCGGAAGGCGUUGUGUUGAGGACCGGAAGGUCAGGGCCUGGAAAGGCGUAUGUGCGUAAGUUGUAUAUUGGGGAACUCACUAAGCAUUUAUGCUUACAGUUGUUAUGUAUGUGUUUCAGGUACUAGCGAGGACCGUGGGAAGGCGCCGGCGUGAUCGGUACACACUGAAGGAUGUUUUUAUGAUCUUGGGAUUUAGACAAUUUGUAUUUGACAUGACACUUACAUUAUUUAUGCCUUGUUUUGAAUGAAAAUACUUUAUUUUUAAAAUGAAAAAUUUGUUUGAAAAUUUGCGUUGUUACAAUUGGUAUCAGAGCCUUGGUUUGAGGGAUUCGGGUGCACCUUCGGGAGUAACUGAACUCAAACCGAGGAUUUGAGGAAAACUUUUUAAAUAAAGGCAUAAACUUUUGUAAAUGGUUUUGUGGUAAGCAAGAAAGAAGCAGUGUGUACGAUCAGUCAGCGCCCGAACGGUAAAGAUCCCCAAAAUACCUUACAAUAUUAUAUGAUAUGAAUUGUUAUGCAUGCUAGAAGACUAGGUAUUCAUGAUAGGACUAGAGUGGCCUGAUUUGUGAUGCCUUAGUCUAGGGAAGUUUGCCGAUAUGAGAUGCUUUGCUAGUGUGCGGGUAGAUAGUGCAUAACAGAAGUAGAGUACUCACUAUCCGGGGUUUGGGGAGGAAGAUUUGGGAUGAAUGCUGAUGCGGUGUGGUCGGUAGUAUUGGGCCCGUACUACCGAAGACACCGGGUCAGUGGGAGACCCAAGUAAGAAUCCCUGGAUAUCGGAGACUGAGUAGGGUUGCGUUAUCGAGUGCGAUUAUACUCGAUGGAGUCUCUGAUAGUUUUAUGUUGUAUUUCAGAGACAUCAUGGUUAGACCACGCCACGGAGCGAGUUCGAGCGGUGUGAGUGACGAGGAGAUUCGUCAGAUGAUUCACGAGGAGGUAGCUGCGGCGAUCCGGGCUGAGAUCCCGGAGAUGUUUGGGUCUAUUAAGACCACCCUGAUGGAGACGUUUGAUGAGCGGUACGCCGCAUUGACUGAGGCUGCAACCGCUGCAGCUACCGCAGCUGUGGUCGCUGCUAGGCCACAGGGGGGUGACUCGUUGCUGUUCCGAGAGUUCAGCAACACGAAGCCACCAGAGUUCGAUGGGACGCAGGAUCCGAUUGCUGCGAUGAGGUGGAUCGCGGAUAUAGAGGGGUGCUUCUACACUUGUUCAUGCCCGGAGCACCUGAGGGUACGGUUCGCUUUGAACCAGCUCCGUCUGGGAGCGAAGGACUGGUGGAAGUUCGUGACGGCGAACUUCACUUUGGCAGAGACUACAGCAGUGACAUGGGAGGGGUUUACUGCUAUGUUCAGGGACGAGUACGUUCCCCCGGUGGAGAGGGAACGAUUGGUUCAGGAGUUCUUAACCCUCAAGCAGGGUACUGAUUCUGUUGCGGUGAUCACGCGGAAGUUUCAUGAGAGGGCGAUGUUCUGCCCCGAGCUGGUGUCCACUGAUCAGGCUCGGAUGAGCCGGUACUUGGGAGUGUUGAGGAGGGAUAUCCGGGAGUUUGUGUCAAACUCCACUUACCAUACUUUUGCUGAGCUUCAGGCGAAUGCCAGGAAGCGCGAGAUCGAGUUGGAGACCCAGGCCAGGGAGGAGGCCGAGUCUCAGCGGGUGGACCGGCGACCGGCUCAGUCCCAGCCGGCAGCCAAGCGGACCAAGUCCGCUGAUUCGAGGACAGGAGGUUCGAAGGGUCGCACUUGCGGGAAGUGCGGCAAGAGUCAUGAUGGAGUAUGUCGAUCUGGUGCUUGCUACAAGUGUGGCAAGGAGGGGCACAUUGCUAGGGAGUGCCCCAAGGGAUUUACGGUUUGCUUUCAUUGCAACCAGACUGGCCAUAGGAAGGCCGAGUGCCCUCAGCUUCUUCAGGGAUCUGCACCUGCUGCCGGAGUUACUGCGACUCGACCGGUGAAGGCCGAGGCCCCGAGGGCUCGGGGAAGAGCCUUUCAGCUGACUGCGGAAGAGGUCCGCGCUGCGCCCGAUGUUGUGGCAGGUAUGUUGUAAUUCAUGUAUUUAUUUUAAUGUCGAGAUGUUAUGCUUAUGUUAUUAUAUGCGUAGGUACUUUCCUUGUGAACUCUGUGCCUGCCUUAGUGUUAUUUGACUCGGGUGCGAGUAGGUCCUUUGUGUCCUUAGCCUUUAGUCAGCAUAUCAGCGUUAGUCGUGAGUCGUUGAGUCGACCUUUGAGAGUUUCUAUAGCUGACGAGAAAGUGAUUUGUGCCACGGAGGUUCUUCGGGGAUGUGUACUAGAGAUUUUCGGGGUUGAAUUCCCGAUUGACCUGAUUCCUAUUGCGAUGGGUGAUGUCUGUGUCAUCGUGGGCAUGGACUGGUUGAGCCGAUUCGGCGCUGUCAUCGACUGUGAGCGUCAGUUGGUGACUAUACGAGACCAUAGUGGGGGAGUUCUUUCGGUGUACGGCGAGGGUACCCGUUCGGGAUCAGCUUUUUGUUCGGCCGCUAGGGCGAGGCAGUGUCUACAGCAGGGCUGUAAGGGUUUUGUGGCGUAUGUGAUGGAUACGCGGGAGGUUUCCGAGAGACCGAAGUCAGUUGAGGAGGUCCCUGUGGUGCGUGAGUUUCCAGAUGUUUUCCCCGAGGAGCUGCCGGGAGUACCUCCUGUGAGGCAAGUAGAGUUUGGUAUCGAUCUGGUUCCGGGGGCCGCGCCUAUUGCUAAAGUGCCUUAUCGUCUUGCACCUCCAGAGAUGCAAGAGUUGUCCUCGCAGCUCCAGGAGUUGCUGGGGAAGGGAUUCAUUCGGCCGAGCAGCUCGCCGUGGGGAGCACCUAUUCUGUUCGUCAAGAAGAAGGAUGGUUCACACCGGAUGUGCAUUGAUUACCGGGAGUUGAACAAGUUGACGGUCAAGAACCGUUACCCGUUACCGAGGAUCGAUGAUUUAUUCGAUCAGUUGCAGGGAGCAUCUUGGUUUUCCAAGAUCGAUCUGAGGUCAGGGUACCAUCAGGUGAGAGUGCGGGAUGAGGAUGUCCAGAAGACAGCGUUUAGGACGCGAUAUGGGCAUUAUGAGUUUGUGGUGAUGCCUUUCGGGCUCACCAAUGCCCCGGCUGUGUUCAUGGAUCUCAUGAACAGGGUAUGCAGACCGAUGUUGGAUCGGUCAGUGAUUGUAUUUAUCGACGACAUUCUGGUGUAUUCGAGAUCUAGAGAGCAGCAUGAGGAGCAUUUGAGGGAGGUCCUUGAGGUAUUGAGGUCGGAGAAGCUUUAUGCAAAGUUCUCCAAAUGUGACUUCUGGUUGCGGGAGGUCCAAUUUCUAGGACAUGUUGUUAAUCAGAAAGGGAUAUUGGUCGAUCCGGCCAAGGUUGAGGCGGUGAUGAGUUGGGAGGUGCCGAAGUCACCCUCUGAGAUCAGGAGCUUCCUUGGGUUGGCAGGGUAUUAUCGGAGAUUCAUUAAGGAUUUCUCCAAGAUCGCAGUGCCGCUCACCAGAUUGACCCGGAAGGGUGUUGCAUUCUCAUGGGGGCCCGAGCAGCAGACCUCCUUUGAGACACUUCGCCAGAGGUUGUGCGAAGCCCCGGUAUUAGCUCUCCCGGAAGGGAUGGAAGAUUUUGUAGUAUAUUGCGACGCAUCGAUUUCGGGACUGGGUGCAGUGUUGAUGCAGAGGGGUCAUGUGAUAGCUUAUGCGUCGAGGCAGCUGAAGCCUCAUGAGGCGAGAUAUCCCACGCAUGAUUUAGAGUUGGGGGCAGUAGUGUUCGCUCUCAAGAUUUGGCGUCACUACCUGUAUGGGGUUCGAUGUACGAUAUACACGGACCAUAAGAGCUUGAAGUAUUUGAUGGAUCAGCCCAACCUAAAUAUGCGUCAGAGGAGGUGGUUGGAUGUGGUCAAGGAUUAUGAUUGUGAGAUCCUGUACCACCCAGGCAAGGCUAAUGUGGUAGCCGACGCGUUGAGCCGCAGGGCGGAGAGCACUCCAUUGCGAGAUGUAUGCUUGAGACUGACUGUGAUGACUCCAGUAUUGGAUGCUAUUCGUGGGGCACAGGCCGAGGCUGUGCGACCAGAGAUGCAGAAGAAAGAGCGGGUUGUUGGGUUAAUUUCAGAGUUCGUUAAGGAUGGACGAGGGCUUCUGACGUUUCAGGGUCGGAUUUGGGUACCGUUCGUGGGCGGUACGCGUAUUACUUUGAUGGAAGAGGCUCAUAGAUCGAAAUUCUCGAUCCAUCCCGGUGCUACGAAGAUGUAUUUGGAUUUGAGGAAAGAGUAUUGGUGGCCCUGUAUGAAGAGGGACGUCGCAUGGUUCGUUGAGAGGUGCUUGACCUGCCGUAGGGUUAAGGCCGAGCACCAGAGACCGCAUGGCAAGUUACAGCCAUUGGAGAUUCCCGAGUGGAAGUGGGAACAGAUCACUAUGGAUUUCAUCACCAAAUUGCCGAGGACUGCCAGGGGAGUUGAUGCAAUUUGGGUGAUUGUGGAUAGGUUGACGAAGAGUGCACACUUCCUUGCCAUCAGCGAGAGUUCUUCAGCGGAGAAGUUGGCGGAGAUAUAUGUGAGAGAAGUGGUAUCUCGGCAUGGAGUGCCGAUCUCGAUUGUUUCAGACCGUGAUGUGCGCUUCACUUCCAGGUUCUGGAAGAAAUUCCAUGAGGAGCUGGGUACUAAAUUGCAUUUUAGUACCGCAUACCAUCCCCAGACAGACGGUCAGAGCGAGCGGACGAUUCAGACGCUGGAGGACAUGCUUCGAGCGUGUGUGUUAGACUUCGGGGGUAGCUGGGAUGCAUAUUUACCCUUAGCAGAGUUUUCCUACAACAACAGCCAUCAUUCGAGCAUUGGUAUGCCACCUUUUGAGCUGUUGUAUGGUAGGAGGUGUCGGACCCCCAUUUGCUGGGGAGAGGUGGGACAGAGAGUGAUGGGCAGCACAGAGAUCGUGCUUCAGACGACAGAGCAGAUUCAGCAAGUUAGACAGAGGUUAUUGACCGCCCAGAGCCGACAGAAGAGUUAUGCAGACAGGCGCCGAUCCGAGCUUGAGUUUCAAGUCGGCGACUUCGUUCUCCUGAAGGUCUCUCCUUGGAAAGGAGUGAUUCGAUUCAGGAAGAGGGGCAAGUUGGGGCCCCGGUAUAUUGGGCCAUUUCGUGUGAUUGCAAGGAUAGGCCGGGUAGCCUAUCGGUUGGAGUUGCCAGCGGAGUUGGGACAGAUCCACGACACUUUUCAUGUGUCGCAAUUGAGGAAGUGCAUAGCCGAUGAGUCGGCAGUGGUUCCAUUGGAGGAUAUUCAGGUGGAUGCGAGCCUGAAUUAUGCUGAGAGACCAGUGGCCAUCAGGGAUCGGAAGAUCAAGGUUCUGAGGAACAAGGAGGUACCUCUGGUGUUGGUUCAGUGGCAACACCGGAAGGGAUCGGAAAUGACUUGGGAGCCGGAACGUGAGAUGCGGGAGCAGCAUCCGGAACUAUUUUCAGAGUGAGACUUCGAGGGCGAAGUCUAAUCCUAGUGGGGGAGAGUUGUAACAGCCCGAAAUCUCAGGUAUUGUUAAAUUAUGUUUUUGGGGUGAUUUAAGAGGGGACUCGGCGAGUUGGAGCCUAGACUCGCCGAGUAGGAUCGCAGACUUGGUCGCGGGUUCGCGACUGGACUCGACGAGUCCAGAUAUGGACUCGGCGAGUCUACGCUGUUUAGCGAAAACCCUAACCGUUCAGGUUUGGGACGUAUAAAGGGGACUUAUUGGCCGUCAUUGUUCAUUUUAGCCUUCUGAGAAGAACCCUAAAUCGAUUGUGUGCAUCUGGAGCAAGGAUUAUAGGCCAUUGUUGAUUAUAGAAGAGUGGUUGUGCAAGGAAGAGAAGGGAUUGGCUAAAGGAACAGCAAGGGAGUCACAUUCUGAGGAUUGGGGACACAGAGAAUACAUCAUCCAGGUAAGAAUUCGAGUAUACUCUGCUAUGUUGAUGUGAUUAUGGAAUUAGGGUUUAUGGAACCCUUUUGUGAAUAGAUUGAAUGUUACCCUAGUCCCCUAAUCGAUUGUAACCCUGUAUUGGGACCUUUGGAGGUCCAGAAUGUCCCAUGUCUGUGCAUUUCGGGAAUUGAUGAAGGUUUUGGAUUGGAAUCCUUAUGCCUUAGGUCAAAAUGUAAAUUAUGAAUCAUAUGGUGUAUCAUGAGCACUGAAAUGAGGACUUUACGUGAUGGAUCAGCCUAGGAAGGCC
rnacentral:lncRNA from 1 species